rnacentral:rRNA from 1 species
UGGGGAAUUUUGCACAAUGGGGGAAACCCUGAUGCAGCGACGCCGCGUGAUUUAGAAGGCCUUCGGGUUGUAAAAAUCUUUUGUAUGGGAAGAAAAUGACAGUACCAUACGAAUAAGGACCGGCUAAUUACGUGCCAGCAGCCGCGGUAAUACGUAAGGUCCGAGCGUUGUCCGGAAUCAUUGGGCGUAAAGGGUACGUAGGCGGAUAAGCAAGUUAGAAGUGAAAUCCUAUAGCUCAACUAUAGUAAGCUUUUAAAACUGCUCAUCUUGAGGUAUGGAAGGGAAAGUGGAAUUCCUAGUGUAGCGGUGAAAUGCGCAGAUAUUAGGAGGAAUACUGGUGGCGAAGGCGACUUUCUGGCCAUAUACUGACGCUGAGGUACGAAAGCGUGGGUAGCAAACAGG